GAUGAACGCUGGCGGCGUGCCUAAUACAUGCAAGUCGAGCGAACAGAUGAGGAGCUUGCUCCUCUGACGUUAGCGGCGGACGGGUGAGUAACACGUGGAUAACCUACCUAUAAGACUGGGAUAACUUCGGGAAACCGGAGCUAAUACCGGAUAAUAUAUUGAACCGCAUGGUUCAAUAGUGAAAGACGGUUUUGCUGUCACUUAUAGAUGGAUCCGCGCCGCAUUAGCUAGUUGGUAAGGUAACGGCUUACCAAGGCAACGAUGCGUAGCCGACCUGAGAGGGUGAUCGGCCACACUGGAACUGAGACACGGUCCAGACUCCUACGGGAGGCAGCAGUAGGGAAUCUUCCGCAAUGGGCGAAAGCCUGACGGAGCAACGCCGCGUGAGUGAUGAAGGUCUUCGGAUCGUAAAACUCUGUUAUUAGGGAAGAACAAAUGUGUAAGUAACUGUGCGCGUCUUGACGGUACCUAAUCAGAAAGCCACGGCUAACUACGUG
rnacentral:rRNA from 1 species